rnacentral:rRNA from 1 species
GGUGGNAGCAUNUUGGUUUUAAUUNGAAAAGCAACGGCGNCAGAUANCUUNNCAUCCUUUNNACANGGGCNUGUUUACGUGGGAAAGAUUUCACGGUUCCCCUUCGGGGGGCGCGCACACAGGUNCUGCAUGGCUGUCGUCAGCUCGUGUCGUGAGAUGUUGGGUUAAAUCCCGCAACGAGCGCAACCCACGUCCUUAGUUGCCAUCAUUCAGUUGGGCACUCUAGGGAGACUGCCGGUGAUAAGCCGCGAGGAAGGUGUGGAUGACGUCAAGUCCUCAUGGCCCUUACGGGAUGGGCUACACACGUGCUACAAUGGCGGUGACAGUGGGACGCGAAGGAGCGAUCUGGAGCAAAUCCCCAAAAGCCGUCUCAGUUCGGAUUGCACUCUGCAACUCGAGUGCAUGAAGGCGGAAUCGCUAGUAAUCGUGGAUCAGCAUGCCACGGUGAAUACGUUCCCGGGCCUUGUACACACCGCCCGUCACAACCAUGGGAGUUGGUCUUACCCGACGGCGCUGCGCCAACCGCAAGGAUG